rnacentral:lncRNA from 1 species
CCUCCACUCUUCUUUCUAAUUCUACAAGACUAACCCUAAUAUCUCAAGAGACUACAUGGCUAAUCUACUCUUGAAUGCUUGGCUCUGAUCCCAGCUCAAAAUAAUGAAUUAGGGUUUAAGGGCUUGCCCUCCUCCAAGGGGUAGGACCAUCCUUAUAUAGGUAGGUGGGAUGAACUGUAGCCUUUGGAUCAAAUCGACCUUCAUUAACGGAGAAGAUUAAACCUCAAAGUCGGUUUAUCCAUGAUUCGCGAACUCGCUCCUGAUUGGUUUAUCCACAUGCCCUGCUUGCUGGCUCUGGCCCGGGCUCCACUCGCCUUCUCCUUUGUUGUGGUGGCUUCCUAAACCUUCUAGAUCAUACUUGUCUAUGUGUUGGCUCGUUUCUCUCUAUGUAAACAUGACAUGUGGGCCUCCUUUGGUCAUUUCCUGAUCACCCCCUGUAGAAGUAGAUAUUCACCAAAACUUGUGGAAUUCUAUCAGUGUACCCCCUAUAUCUAUGUUGGUAACUGCUUUUAAAACCUUUCUCCAUUAUCUUGUUGAUAUAAAAAUGAUACUUAUCUACCAUCAACAAGGUCCCCCAAGCUUACCCUUUGCUCGUCCCUAAGCAAAAGAUAAACUCAAUGAUGGAUCAAGAGUUGCUGUAAUGCUUUCACGCCUCAAAAGUACACAUGAGUUCAAACAAGAAUUCUCCUUAGGAUUAGAGUGUACUAUUUUGACUUCAAACUUACUCAUCUUACCUUCCACCAUGGGGCUUAUAGCCAUCACUUGGGUCUUGAGUAGUUAAAAGAUAGAACAGUUAAGUCAAGCACUAUGUCUCUAGCUCCUCGAUCAACCUUCAUUCUAGAGUUUUUAUGGAUUUUCAAAUAAAACUCAGAGAUUCCUAUGUAUGACCCUCUCAAGUCUCUCAUUUAUGGUAUUUGUGGAUCCUUACCAAGGCAUUAAUGAUGUAUGUCUUCUCUCAUCUCUCAAGAUAUGUGGUAUUUUUUUGCAUUAGGCAUAGUAGCGUUGUGCCCUCUCUCUCUCACCCUACAACUAAUAGGGUUAUGCGGAGCUCCUAGGUGGGGAGACAACUCAUACAUACUUACAACCAUGUAUUGUAAAGUCAAACAAUGGAUCCAGAGAAACAAGUCAUACAAUCAAAUCAAGAUGUGCAUGUGUGUGGAAAAUAUGGGAUAUAGUGGAUGGUGGAAAUGGUAGGUGUAAAUGGUUAUGAUGUGGUGAAUAUGAUGGUAAUGGUGAUACAUACCUCUCUUUUGAAUCUGAAGACACUGGGAGAACUUGGGUUGCUCACAAUCUUUCACUCUUUUUUUUUCUUUUGGACAUUUGUCCUCUUUAUUUCUUUAUUUCUUUCUUUCUCUCUUUUUUUUCAAUGAGCACCCAAGCCUCUUUGGAUAUAUUGAUGGGAAGUAGUAACAGGAAUAUUUGGAGCUUUAUUUUGAUGGCAAUGGGAUGAUGGAUGGAAAAUUUGUUUUUGGUGUUCACUCCUAGUGUAGGAGUAGAACAAUUUUGGGUGGAUCUAGAUGGAAUGGAUGUGGAUGUGUACUUCCAGUAUAGAAGCAACAUGUGUGGGUGGAGUGUACGUGAUCUUGAUUUUAAUUGAAUGACAAGUUUCUAAGGGUCAACGCAGCUUGAGUAUACUCAAUGCUCACAAGCAGUAAAUAUAAGUGGAAGUUUUCCUAGUGUAGCAAGCAUGUAUAUUGCUGUGGUAGGAAUUCAAGCUCUCAUCAUACAGGAUCUCAUCAUGCAACAUUUUUAUGUUUUCAAAAUAUAAAUCUCCAGGACUCUAGCAUCUCUAAGAACAAGAUAAACAGUGGCAUCAGACCUUCCAUAUCAUACCCGUCAACUACCUAGACUUAGAUCAAGCAUUUGCUACCCACAAGUUUCAGGUUCAGAGUAAAUCUUAGAUCAAAACAGUUGUGUCUAAAACUUGAAAGAGAUCGAGGUUGAGCAACUAUUCAUCAUUUCUAUGCAAGAAUUUAUUCAGAGAGUUCUUCUUUUUAUUAUCAACUUCUUUAAAACUAAAGAUCAAGCAAACAAAACACACCCUUUUUUAUUUUGUUUUAAUUAUUUUAGAUCAUCAUUAUUACUAAUUAAGAAAACUCACAAAGACUAAGUAAAACUGAGGGAAGAGAAUACUUAGCUAGAUACAUGGGGUGCGCUCCCCCAAGAUGUAUGUUGAUGUAGUCGUUUGUUCUUCUGAGGUUGCAGACUGGUAGUGGAGAUGUUCUUCCUCUUGUGGAGCAUUAAUUCGUGUUGAUGAUUUGUUGAGAUAGUGCUCCAACACUGGAAAGAACAUCCACUUGCUUGUUAGCUCCUCAUGGUAUUUCAAAUCCUAUGAAACUCAAAUAGACAACAAAACUUGUGGAAUAGAUUAAGCGAUAUUUGUUGGCCACUUAAUUAUUAGUUGUCUAAGACUUUUGAUAUUGUUUUUUUGUUCUUCUAAGCAGAGUUUUCACUAGGAUCAUUUUGCAUUCUCUAUGAUGCAAAGAAUAUGUAACAAGAUGAAUGCAUAUUUAUUUUUAUUUUUGUGCUACCAUGGUGAAUACUCUUGCAGGUUUUUACAUGCCACAAAUUAUUCACAUGGAGCUUAGGAAUUAUGAUGCAACAAAGUAAAUAAUUUUAUUUUAUUUUCUUAUGAAGGCCUUAAUGCAGUGAAGUAAAUAUGCUAAGGGAAACAUGGUUAUGCAAAUGUAGGCAAAUGGUUAUGCAAAGGAAACUAAUGCAUGCAAUAUUUGAAAAGGGAAAUAAAAGAUAACUACCGAUUUUACCUCCCGGCGAGGAUUCAGUGUUUUCAGUCCUCUGAACAAGACUUCUUACCGUGAUCACUCCUUAGGUGCAUCAUCUAGUCCCAAGGGUGGAGACUUUGAUGAUCAUACCUCUUGAUGUGAUGUCACCUAUGUUCUU